rnacentral:rRNA from 1 species
UACGUAGGCAGCGAGCGUUGUUCGGAGUUACUGGGCGUAAAGGGCUCGUAGGUGGCCAACUAAGUCAGACGUGAAAUCCCUCGGCUUAACCGGGGAACUGCGUCUGAUACUGGAUGGCUUGAGUUUGGGAGAGGGACGCGGAAUUCCAGGUGUAGCGGUGAAAUGCGUAGAUAUGUGGAAGAACACCAGUGGCGAAGGCGGUUUUCUAGCUUAUUCCUGACGCUGAGGCGCGAAAGCAAGGGGAUCAAACAGGG